CCUACGGGGGGCAGCAGUGGGGAAUAUUGCACAAUGGGGGAAACCCUGAUGCAGCAACGCCGCGUGAAGGAAGAAGGGUUUCGGCUCGUAAACUUCUAUCGAUAGGGACGAAAGAGAUGACGGUACCUAAAUAAGAAGCCCCGGCUAACUACGUGCCAGCAGCCGCGGUAAUACGUAGGGGGCAAGCGUUAUCCGGAAUUACUGGGUGUAAAGGGAGCGUAGGCGGCAAGGUAAGUAAGAUGUGAAAGCCCGCAGCUUAACUGCGAGGAUUGCAUUUUAAACUAUCUAGCUUGAGUACAGGAGAGGUAAGCGGAAUUCCUAGUGUAGCGGUGAAAUGCGUAGAUAUUAGGAAGAACACCAGUGGCGAAGGCGGCUUACUGGACUGUAACUGACGCUGAGGCUCGAAAGCGUGGGGAGCGAACAGGAUUAGAUACCCC
rnacentral:rRNA from 1 species